UACGGAGGGUGCAAGCGUUAAUCGGAAUUACUGGGCGUAAAGCGCGCGUAGGCGGUUUGUUAAGAGGGAUGUGAAGUCCCCGGGCUCAACCUGGGAACUGCAUUUCGAACUGGCAAACUAGAGUGUAGAAGAGGGGUGUGGAAUUUCCGGUGUAGCGGUGAAAUGCGUAGAGAUCGGAAGGAACACCAGUGGCGAAGGCGACACCCUGGUCUAACACUGACGCUGAGGUGCGAAAGCGUGGGGAGCAAACAGG
rnacentral:misc_RNA from 1 species